GGCGUUGUGCGAUAGUGGUUAUUCGGCGGGUCUAGAACUUGAAACAUCUGGGAACCCGUGCCGUCAGGCUCGCAUGUUCGAAUCAUGCCAACGUCG
rnacentral:tRNA from 3 species